UACCGCAUGAUAUAUCGGAAUCACAUGAUUUUGAUAUCAAAGAUUUUAUCGCUUGAAGAUGGACUCGCGUCCGAUUAGUUAGUUGGUGAGGUAACGGCUCACCAAGACUGCGAUCGGUAGCCGGACUGAGAGGUUGAACGGCCACAUUGGGACUGAGACACGGCCCAGACUCCUACGGGAGGCAGCAGUGGGGGAUAUUGCGCAAUGGGGGCAACCCUGACGCAGCAACGCCGCGUGAAGGAUGAAGGUUUUCGGAUUGUAAACUUCUUUUAUUAAGGAUUUUUUAUUGGCGGUACUUAAUGAAUAAGCUCCGGCUAACUACGUGCCAGCAGCCGCGGUAAUACGUAGGGAGCAAGCGUUGUCCGGAUUUAUUGGGUUUAAAGGGUGCGUAGGUGGUGAUUUAAGUCAGCGGUGAAAGUUUGUGGCUCAACCAUAAAAUUGCCGUUGAAACUGGGUUACUUGAGU
rnacentral:rRNA from 1 species